rnacentral:rRNA from 1 species
GACGAACGCUGGCGGCGUGCUUAACACAUGCAAGUCGAACGGAAAGGCCCUGCUUGCAGGGUACUCGAGUGGCGAACGGGUGAGUAACACGUGGGUGAUCUGCCCUGCACUUCGGGAUAAGCCUGGGAAACUGGGUCUAAUACCGGAUAGGAGCCAUUUUUAGUGUGAUGGUUGGAAAGUUUUUUCGGUGUAGGAUGAGCUCGCGGCCUAUCAGCUUGUUGGUGUGGUAAUGGCCUACCAAGGCGGCGACGGGUAGCCGGCCUGAGAGGGUGGACGGCCAAAUUGGGACUGAGAGACGGCCCAGACUCCUACGGGAGGCAGCAGUGGGGAAUAUUGCACAAUGGGCGCAAGCCUGAUGCAGCGACGCCGCGUGGGGGAUGACGGCCUUCGGGUUGUAAACUCCUUUCGCUAGGGACGAAGCUUUUUGUGACGGUACCUAGAUAAGAAGCACCGGCUAACUACGUG